rnacentral:rRNA from 1 species
AUUGAACGCUGGCGGCAGGCCUAACACAUGUAAGUCGAACGAGUGGCGGACGGGUGAGUAAUGUCUGGGAAACUGCCUGAUGGAGGGGGAUAACUACUGGAAACGGUAGCUAAUACCGCAUACCAUCGGAUGUGCCCAGAUGGGAUUAGCUAGUAGGUGGGGUAAAGGCUCACCUAGGCGACGAUCCCUAGCUGGUCUGAGAGGAUGACCGGCCCAACUGGAACGGAGACACGGUCCAGACUCCUACGGAAGGAAGCAGUGGGAAAUAUUGCACAAGGGGCGCAAGCCUGAUGAAGCCAUGCCGCGUGUAGGAAGAAGGCCUUCGGGUUGUAAAGUACUUUCAGCGGGGAGGCGUUACCCGCAGAAGAAGCACCGGCUAACUCCGUGCCAGCCGCCGCGGUAAUAC